rnacentral:rRNA from 1 species
AUGCCGAAGGACUUGGUGAGAAUUGAAGGAGGCAAGUUACUAGCUGAACAUAAUUCCUCAUCAACAAAGGCAACUGAAUGUGGUGGAAUUUCAUUUUUCACAUGCAUUCCCAGUUGUAAGAAGCGUCAUGAUAUUGCCAUAAAAAUCAGAGAUUUUAAUGGAGAACUCGAGAAGAUUUCAGAGUUGGGAGCAAAAUUUUUAAAGCUCCAGAGUAUGCAGCAUAAAGCGGAAGCUCCACUGGUGAAGCAGAUGAGAACUUGCCACCUUGUGGAGCCGAAUCUUGUGGGAAAGGAAACUUUACAUGCUUGCACAAGAUUGGUUGAACUGGUGCUUGGACAAAAGAAAAAGAAGGCCUACAAGGUUGGUAUUACUGGAACAGGAGGGGUUGGGAAGACAACUCUGGCUCAGAAAAUAUAUAAUGACCAAAAAAUAAAAGGAGCAUUUAGCAACCAAGCAUGGAUUUGUGUUUCUCAGGAGUACUCUGAAGUCGCUCUAUUGAAAGAAGUUCUUCGAAAUUUUGGUGUACAUGAAGAGCAAGGUGAAACUGUGGGAGAGCUCAGCAGCAAGCUUGCAGAGGCCAUUCGAGGAAAAAGUUUCUUCCUUGUGCUAGAUGAUGUUUGGCAGCCUCAGGUGUGGACCAAUCUACUGAGAGUUCCAUUACAUGCUGCUGCAACCGGAGUAAUUCUAGUAACCACUCGACAUGAUACAGUUGCACAUGUAAUUGGGGUGGAAGAUGUGCAUCGAGUAGAGUUGAUGGCAUUAGAUGUAGGAUGGGAACUGCUUUGGAAGAGUAUGAACAUUAAUCAAGAAAAUGAUGUGCAAAACCUUAGGCAUAUAGGGCUGGAAAUUGUUCGUAAAUGUGGCGGACUUCCUCUUGCAAUCAAAGUUACUGCUAGUGUUCUAGCAACUAAAGCAAAAACUCAGAAUGAGUGGAGAAAGAUUAUGGAGAGAAGUGCAUGGUCUAUGGGCAAUCUUCCAACCGAGCUCAAUGGUGCUCUGUAUUUGAGUUACGAUGAUCUGCCACGGCAUUUGAAGCAAUGCUUCCUCUAUUUGAUCUUAUACCCAGAAGAUCAAUACAUGUACCGAGAUGAUCUUAUCAGGCUGUGGAUUGCUGAAGGCUUUGUUGAGGAGCAUAAAGAACAACUUCUGGAAGAUACAGCUGAAGAAUAUUACUAUGAGUUGAUAUAUAGGAAUCUACUGCAACCAGACCCUUUACGUUUUGACCGCAGCAUGUGCAAAAUGCAUGAUCUCUUGAGACAAAUUGCUCAGCACUUUUCAAGAGACGAAAAUUAUUGUGGCGACCCACAAUCAUUACAGGUUACAACCUUGUCCAGGCUACGGCGUGUUUCAGUUGUCACUGACAAGGAUUCUUUAAUGCUGCCCAAUGUGGACAACGAGAAGAUUAGAGCAAGGACACUGUUAAUUCAUUCCACUAAGAAAUUGAGAGUUGAAAAUACAGUUUUCAAGAGGCUUCCAUGCAUCAGAGUUUUAGAUCUGACUGGUUCACCUAUAAAAAGUAUUCCAGAUUGCGUUGGUAGUUUGAUCCAUCUACGACUUCUUGAUCUGGAUGAGACAGCCAUAUCUUGUCUUCCAGAGUCCAUCGGUUCUCUGAUAAAUCUUCAGAUACUGAACUUGCAAAGGUGCAAAGCUCUGCACAGCCUUCCUUCGUCGAUCACACAGUUGUGCAAUUUAAGGCGCCUUGGUCUUGGUGGCACACCAAUAAAUCAGGUGCCAAAAGGGAUAGGUAAACUAGAAUUCCUCAAUGAUCUGGAAGGAUUUCCUAUUGGUGGUACAAGUGAUGGCGCUAAUACACAAGAUGGAUGGAAGUUGGAAGAGUUGGGGCAUCUUUGGCAGCUAAGGCAGCUUGACAUGAUCAAAUUGGAAAGAGCAUCCCCUAGCACGACAGAUUCUCCAUUUUUAAGAGACAAAAAGUAUCUCAAAUUUCUGACUCUAUGUUGCACUCAACGGAAGGAAGAACCAAAUUCACAAGAUAUCAGCAAUAUUGAGGACAUUUUUGAGCAGCUAAUCCCUCCACACAACUUGGAAAAACUUGUUAUUGAUGAAUUCUUUGGUCGAGGGUAUCCCACCUGGCUUGGUACUAGUAUCCAUUUGUCUUCAACAACAUACUUGAACCUUACUAAUUGCAAACACUGUGUCCAUCUUCCACCACUAGGGCAGCUGGCCAGCCUGAAAUAUCUAAAAAUUGCUGGAGCAACUGCAGUUACCAAGAUUGGACCUGAAUUUGUUGGAUGCGGGGAGGGUAAUCCCGCCUUCCCCAAGCUCGAAUACCUCGUCUUCAAAGAAAUGCCCAACUGGAGCGAGUGGUCCUUUGUUGAAGAAGAAGAAGAAGAAGAAGAUGCAGUGGCAGCAGCUACAGAAGGGGGAGAGACCGAGACGUCUCCCCCGAUGCGGCUGCUGCCAUGCCUGAAGAGGUUGGAGCUUCUUGGCUGCUCCAAGCUGAGAGGUCUCCCAUGA